rnacentral:lncRNA from 1 species
UAUACAUGUAUUCCUCCCAGUUGUGUCGUAUUAGCCGUGAUAGAAAAAGUAAAGAGAGAAAGAUUGGAAAAGUAUGGGGCAUAUUUAGAGGCGUAUGCAAUUAUAUAUUUGGUGAUGAUAAAUACGACCUAAACCAUAAAUGUGAGGUAUUGUGUGGAGCAACGUUUGGUGAUUACAGUCCAAAUUGUAUUUGGUUGCAUUUGCUGGGAGAUAGAAUAAACAGUGUGAAUGCCAAUGGAUGUAGUAUGGUGUAGUCAUGGUUCUACUGUGGCUGUUUACACGUAUCUAUCAGCUAGGGUUCAUGGUCCCC